rnacentral:rRNA from 1 species
AUUGAACGCUGGCGGCAGGCCUAACACAUGCAAGUCGAGCGGAUGACGGGAGCUUGCUCCUUGAUUCAGCGGCGGACGGGUGAGUAAUGCCUAGGAAUCUGCCUGGUAGUGGGGGACAACGUUUCGAAAGGAACGCUAAUACCGCAUACGUCCUACGGGAGAAAGCAGGGGACCUUCGGGCCUUGCGCUAUCAGAUGAGCCUAGGUCGGAUUAGCUAGUUGGUGGGGUAAUGGCUCACCAAGGCGACGAUCCGUAACUGGUCUGAGAGGAUGAUCAGUCACACUGGAACUGAGACACGGUCCAGACUCCUGCGGGAGGCAGCAGUGGGGAAUAUUGGACAAUGGGCGAAAGCCUGAUCCAGCCAUGCCGCGUGUGUGAAGAAGGUCUUCGGAUUGUAAAGCACUUUAAGUUGGGAGGAAGGGCAGUAAGUUAAUACCUUGCUGUUUUGACGUUACCGACAGAAUAAGCACCGGCUAACUCUGUGCCAGCCGCCGCGGUAAUAC